CCUACGGGAGGCAGCAGUGAGGAAUAUUGGUCAAUGGACGCAAGUCUGAACCAGCCAUGCCGCGUGCAGGAAGACGGCUCUAUGAGUUGUAAACUGCUUUUGUACGAGGGUAAACGCAGAUACGCGUAUCUGUCUGAAAGUAUCGUACGAAUAAGGAUCGGCUAACUCCGUGCCAGCAGCCGCGGUAAUACGGAGGAUUCAAGCGUUAUCCGGAUUUAUUGGGUUUAAAGGGUGCGUAGGCGGUCGGAUAAGUUAGAGGUGAAAUCCUGAGGCUCAACUUCGGAAUUGCCUCUGAUACUGUUCGGCUAGAGAGUAGUUGCGGUAGGCGGAAUGUGUGGUGUAGCGGUGAAAUGCUUAGAGAUCAUACAGAACACCGAUUGCGAAGGCAGCUUACCAAGCUACUUCUGACGUUGAGGCACGAAAGCGUGGGUAGCAAACAGGAUUAGAUACCCUAGUAGUC
rnacentral:rRNA from 1 species